AUGCAGGAGGCAUGGGUCCGAUCCCUGAUUGGGGUGUGCAGGGAGUGUACCCUGGAGCCUAGCACCCUCCGGAGAGGUCCUGCUGACCAGCCGAGGGGCAGCAGCCUUGCUGGGGGACGUCGUCUGGGAACCACCACUGGCCGGUUGCCGUGGGUUCAGGAGUCCGAGUGCACAGUGGUUGCCUUGGGGAUGCUGGAAGAGGCAGCAUUUCCGGCCAGCCCAGUGAAAUACCACCUCCCCCAGCGUCUCCCGCCAACAGGAAGAACUUCUUGUGUUCCCAUCUCUCUUCUGCUGCCUCUCUGACCACCUCCCUCCUUCAUCCUGACAAGUGCAAACCGAGUCUCCACGUCCAUGUACUUUCACUGCAUUAAAAUUUCCAAGUUGGUACUUUUCCCAUGUUGAGUGCUCUUUGGGUGGAAUGUGCAUGUUGACAUCCACAAAACCCCUUUUCUGCACAGGUAGGUGGCCUGCAGCUCUGCUCAGGAGGGUCUGGUCCAGUCACAUGAGCCUUAGAGAAUGCAUCCUGCCCCGUGUCCUUUCUAUGUUCCAACACCUGGGAUCCCACUGGCUCCUGUUACAACCGAGCCAGGACCAACAGUAACAACACCAGCACCACCCCUGCGACAGCAGCUCCCUUUUAUAAAGCAUCUCUUACCUGCCCAGGUGUAGACUGACUGCUUUCCAUGCGGGCGUGCUUAGUCGCUCAGUCGUGUCUGACUCUUUCUGACCCCAUAGACCGCAGCCCACCAGGCUCCUCUGUCCAUGAGAGUCUCCAGGCAAGAACACUGGAGUGGGUUGCCAUCCCCUCCUCCUAGGGAUCUUCCCAGCUCAGAGAUCGAACCCAGGUCUCCCGCACUGCAGUGGUUUCUUUACCGUCUGAGCCACAGGGGAAGCCUCUUAGCAAUUCUUGCAGCAUCCUCUUGAAUAUGUAAUGUGAUUCCCAUUUUACAGAUGAGAAAACUGAGGCUUGGAGAAAAAUAACUGGAUUUAAUGUCAUACCAAAUUUCCUAAAGGAAAUCAGCCCUGAAUAUUUAUUGGAAGGACUCAUGCUGAAGCUGAAGCUCCACUUCUAUGGCCACCUGAUGUGAAGAGCUGACUCACCUCAAAAGACCCUGAUGCUGGGAAACAUUGAAGGCAGGAGGAGAAGGAGGUGAUAGAGGAUGAGAUGGUUGAGUGGCAUCACUAACUCUAUGGACAUGAGUGAGCAAACUCUGGGAGACAGAGGAGGCUAGGGAAGCCUGGAGGAUAGGGAAGCCUGUCGCACUGCAGUCCAUGGAGUCGGAGUCAGAAAUGACUUAAUGAC
rnacentral:lncRNA from 1 species